rnacentral:rRNA from 1 species
AUUGAACGCUGGCGGAAUGCUUUACACAUGCAAGUCGAACGGCAGCACGGGGGCAGCCCUGGUGGCGAGUGGCGAACGGGUGAGUAAUACAUCGGAACGUGCCCGGUCGUGGGGGAUAACGUAGCGAAAGUUACGCUAAUACCGCAUACGAUCUGAGGAUGAAAGCGGGGGACCUUCGGGCCUCGCGCGAUCGGAGCGGCCGAUGUCAGAUUAGGUAGUUGGUGGGGUAAAGGCCUACCAAGCCGACGAUCUGUAGCUGGUCUGAGAGGAUGACCAGCCACACUGGGACUGAGACACGGCCCAGACUCCUACGGGAGGCAGCAGUGGGGAAUUUUGGACAAUGGGCGCAAGCCUGAUCCAGCCAUUCCGCGUGCAGGACGAAGGCCUUCGGGUUGUAAACUGCUUUUGUACGGAACGAAAAGGCUCUGGCUAAUACCUGGGGCUCAUGACGGUACCGUAAGAAUAAGCACCGGCUAACUACGUG